rnacentral:rRNA from 1 species
AUUGAACGCUGGCGGCAGGCCUAACACAUGCAAGUCGAGCGGAGCGGCGCACGGGUGAGUAAUGUCUGGGAAACUGCCUGAUGGAGGGGGAUAACUACGGGAAACUGUAGCUAAUACCGCGUACCAUAGGAUGAGCCCCAGUGGUAUUAGGUAGUUGGUGAGGUAAAGGCUCACCAAGGCGACGAUCCGUAACUGGUCUGAGAGGAUGAGCAGUAACACUGGAACUGAGACACGGUCAAGAUGCCUACGGGAGGCAGCAGUGGGGAAUAUGGGACAAUGGGCGAAAGCCGGAUGCAGCAAUGCCGCGUGUGUGAAGAAGGUCUUCGGAUUGUAAAGCACUUUAAGUUGGGAGGCGUUACCAACAGAAUAAGCACCGGCUAACUUCGUGCCAGCCGCCGCGGUAAUAC